rnacentral:misc_RNA from 1 species
GAGCAUAUCAAUAAGCGGAGAGAAAUAUCAAUAAGCGGAGGAGCUUCAUAAGCGGAGGAACAGAAAAUAAGCGGAGGAACAUAUCAAUAAGCGGAGGAACAUAUCAAUAAACGGAGGAACAUAUCAACGGCGGAGGAAUGAACCACGAAUCCCAGAGACAUGAUGCGCAGUUCCCCGUUGCCGGGCCGUGACAAGUCAUUGUGGAAAUCCUUCCGUUCUUCUGUUCCCGCCCCGCCUCCUUCUAUGGGGUGUGCCCCCGUGAGGGACAGGAUACCGGUUCUGUGCGCCUUGUUUCCACGGGUGCUCCCUCGGUACCGCCUUACUUUUCCUUUAGCCGGCUUGGGUGGACGAGCAGGAGAUGCCUGACGUGCGAUUGGGCGGGAGGCCCUAGUUGCCUUUUCCUCAUAAAAGCUCUGGAUACCUCUACUUUUUUUUUUUUUUUUUUUUGGUAUGGGUAGGAACAUCUAUAUAAGGAGGGGAAAAUCGAAGAAAUUUGUGAUAUUGGUUGCCCCUUCGCGUCGGAUUUAUCUAUGGAGGUAGUUCGUGAUUUCCUUUGCGUUUUUUCUAUAUCUCCGAAGAACAUUUCAAUAAGCCGAAGAAAACCCGAGGAUAUAGGACUAUUGUUUUUUACGGCUGCUCAUAUCGA